rnacentral:rRNA from 1 species
GGCAAAGAUUAUUUUUCAUUUAAAAAAAAGUGACAAAACUCGCUGGACACAUGAACAUCAAACUAAGACAACAGGUUCUGCACGGCGUGCUGCCUUUCAUUCAUCAUAGAUGGCGUUACAGAGAAGAAACAAAGCUGUCCUCAAAAUUUACACAAAGGACCCUAAAAAGUAAAAAAAAGCAAUCGAGUCCUUCUCCACUUCAACAACAUGGCCUUCACCGCCGGCCGUCCUUCUUCUGCCGCCGCCUUGCCCUGCUCGUUGCGCCGCUCGCCAGGCAACCGCCAAGUUGCGCAGCCGCCCGGCCAUGCUCGCCGCGCAGCUACACGGCCCAACUCGCUCGCGCCUUGCUAGCGCCGACUGCCCGCGCGUUGCUCGCAGCAGCCUCCUGCGCCAGCUGCCCUGCCCGCACCGGCCUGCACCGGCCGUGCCUUGGUCUCCGAACCGCCGCCCGGCCAUGCUCACCGCACGGCCCUGCUCGCCCACGCCCUGCUACCGCCGCCCGCCCGCGCGUCACUGGCAGCAGCCUCCCGCACCGCACGCCCGCACGUCGCUCGCAGCCCGCAGCGGUCGUGCCCUCCUCGUGCCGCCCGCCUCGCUGGUUCCACGAGAUAGAGAGAGAGGAUUCAGAGAGGGAGCGAAGCAGAGGAAGGGGAGGUCUGACGCCUGCCAGCGGCGGCAGGUGGUUCGCUGGCCGGAGGGCCGAUGCUGGUGGCGCCGGCGAGUCAAUCGAUCGGGAGGUCAGAGGUGAGCGAGCUGGAUGCACAGGCGAGAGAGAGAAAGGUACGAGAGAGACAGAGAGAACGUAGGGUGGGUGGGCUACUACGAG